CCUACGGGAGGCAGCAGUGAGGAAUAUUGGACAAUGGGCGCAAGCCUGAUCCAGCCAUGCCGCGUGCAGGAAGACGCAUCUAUGGCGUGUAAACUGCUUUUGUACGGGAAGAAACACUCCCUCGUGAGGGAGCUUGACGGUACCGUAAGAAUAAGGAUCGGCUAACUCCGUGCCAGCAGCCGCGGUAAUACGGAGGAUCCAAGCGUUAUCCGGAAUCAUUGGGUUUAAAGGGUCCGUAGGCGGUUUAAUAAGUCAGUGGUGAAAGCCCAUCGCUCAACGAUGGAACGGCCAUUGAUACUGUUAGACUUGAAUUACUAGGAAGUAACUAGAAUAUGUAGUGUAGCGGUGAAAUGCUUAGAUAUUACAUGGAAUACCAAUUGCGAAGGCAGGUUACUACUAGUGGAUUGACGCUGAUGGACGAAAGCGUGGGGAGCGAACAGGAUUAGAUACCCGGUGGUAGUCCACGCCGUAAACGAUGGAUACUAGCUGUUGGGCGCAAGUUCAGUGGCUAAGCGAAAGUGAUAAGUAUCCCACCUGGGGAGUACGUUCGCAAGAAUGAAACUCAAAGGAUUGACGG
rnacentral:rRNA from 1 species